GGCGGSGUGCUUACACAUGCAGUCGACGAUGAUGCCCAGCUUGCUGGGUGGAUUAGUGGCGAACGGGUGAGUAUCACGUGAGUAACCUGCCCUUGACUUUGGGAUAAGCCCGGGAAACUGGGUCUAAUACCGGAUAGGACUUCGCAUCGCAUGGUGUGGGGUUGAAAGUUUUUAACGGUCUUGGAUGGGCUCGCGGCCUAUCAGUUUGACGGUGGGGUAGUGGCCUACCGUGGCGAUGACGGGUAGCCGGCCUGAGAGGGUGACCGGCCACACUGGGACUGAGACACGGCCCAGACUCCUACGGGAGGCAGCAGUGGGGAAUAUUGCACAAUGGGCGCAAGCCUGAUGCAGCGACGCCGCGUGCGGGAUGACGGCCUUCGGGUUGUAAACCGCUUUCAGUAGGGACGAAGCCCUUCGGGGUGACGGUACUUGCAGAAGAAGCGCCGGCUAACUACGUGCCAGCAGCCGCGGUAAUACGUAGGGCGCGAGCGUUAUCCGGAAUUAUUGGGCGUAAAGAGCUUGUAGGCGGUUUGUCACGUCUGCUGUGAAAGCCCGGGGCUCAACUCCGGGUGUGCAGUGGGUACGGGCUGACUAGAGUGCAGUAGGGGAGACUGGAAUUCCUGGUGUAGCGGUGAAAUGCGCAGAUAUCAGGAGGAACACCGAUGGCGAAGGCAGGUCUCUGGGCUGUUUCUGACGCUGAGAAGCGAAAGCAUGGGUAGCGAACAGGAUUAGAUACCCUGGUAGUCCAUGCCGUAAACGUUGGGCACUAGGUGUGGGGGGCGUUCCUCGUCGUCCGCGCCGUAGCUAACGCAUUAAGUGCCCCGCCUGGGGAGUACGGCCGCAAGGCUAAAACUCAAAGGAAUUGACGGGGGCCCGCACAAGCGGCGGAGCAUGCGGAUUAAUUCGAUGCAACGCGAAGAACCUUACCAAGGCUUGACAUACACCGGAUCGCGCUGGAGACAGUGUUUCCCUUCGGGGCUGGUGUACAGGUGGUGCAUGGUUUGUCGUCAGCUCGUGUCGUGAGAUGUUGGGUUAAGUCCG
rnacentral:rRNA from 1 species